GUGCCAGCCGCCGCGGUACUACGGAGGGUGCAAGCGUUGUCCGGAAUCACUGGGCGUAAAGGGUGCGCAGGCGGGGCAGCAAGUCGGAGGUGAAAGCCCGUGGCUCAACCACGGAAGUGCCUUCGAAACUGUUGCUCUUGAGUCCCGGAGAGGUUGCCGGAAUUCGUGGUGUAGCGGUGAAAUGCGUAGAUAUCACGGGGAACACCAGAGGCGAACGCGGGCAACUGGACGGGUACUGACGCUCAGGCACGAAAGCGCGGGGAGCAAACAGGAUUAGAAACCCGGGUACC
rnacentral:rRNA from 1 species